GCUCGAGUGGCGAACGGGUGAGUAACACGUGAGUAACCUGCCCUUGACUUUGGGAUAACUUCAGGAAGCUGGGGCUAAUACCGGAUAGGAGCUCCUGCUGCAUGGUGGGGGUUGGAAAGUUUCGGCGGUUGGGGAUGGACUCGCGGCUUAUCAGCUUGUUGGUGGGGUAGUGGCUUACCAAGGCUUUGACGGGUAGCCGGCCUGAGAGGGUGACCGGCCACAUUGGGACUGAGAUACGGCCCAG
rnacentral:rRNA from 1 species